UUCAUCAACCAUCACCUCACAAACACUAACAAGCAAAUCAUUAUUAUUCUCCAUUUUUAAAAGUCGCUCAGCGCUCUCCUGUAGCAGAGCGUUAAGUCAUUUAAAUUCAGCUCCGUGUGCUUUCUGAGCGGCUCACUUACUUAACGCGCCUGAAUGCAUCGCAUUGAACACAGCGCUGAAAGAGCCAACAUGGCGAACUCUGACAUCCAGUUUCAUAACCGCCUCGACAGGGAGGCCAGCCAAUCAGACUCACAUGCUGGGGAUGGAGUGUUUCUACAGCCAAUCAGACUCACAUGCUGGGGAUAGAGUGUUUCUACAGCCAAUCAGACUCACAUGCUGGGGAUAGAGUGUUUCUACAGCCAAUAAUACGCGAUGACUCCAACCAGACCCGCCUUCUGCUGGUGACGCUUUCAUUUCAGUCCAGGAAAUAGAGAGGUUUGUUUUGUUCAUGUGUGGAGAGGUGGCUGCAGUCAGUGAUGAUUUUACAACACGCUGUCUCCUGCUGUUUAAAGUAUUUAGGCUGGGAUUAAAUGUUUUCUAAUAAUUAGUGAUUUUUGUGUUUGUUUAUUACCUGCACGGAGUUCCGUGAAAAGGAAAGCAUCCCUUUUCUGUGUUGAAUUUCACACACAGAGCGGAGCGCGUCAGUCGCAGCUACAGACAAGUCGAGCUUUUCAAUGAGAUGAUUUACUGAGAAACAAACGCGUUGAAGCUCCAGCAGAGCUCUGCGCGAUUCUGAAAGACCAAAGUAAAGUUACUCCUUGCAAAGCCUGUUGUUUGUGUUCUUUCUUUAUCACACCAGAAGAAGUGAUGAAUAUAUUUGAAUGGGAAGGCUACAGUAAAAAAUAAAUAUUACUAAAUACAAACCGCAGGCGGUGUUUCUGAUUGAAAAGAGGAUUCCGCUAGACCAGUGUGAAACUCAAACCAGUGAAGAUGGACGCGUCAGCGUGUCCGUGUCGCUCUUUCAAGACGAGCUCGCCUCUACCAUCGAGCACGCAGUGAAAGCGGCUCUACACACCGUCUUGUGCGCGAUUACUAAAGCUGUCGGCAGCAAAUUCACUGAAUUCAGAGUGGAAAUGGAACAAAAAGGAGAAAGAGAAUGAAAGUCUGAAGCUGAGAUUGGAAAUAUCAGAGAGCGAGCUGAAAGCUUUGCGAGGGUGUAUAAACGCUACACAUGCAGACAUUAAACAACCUUUAAUAUUUCAAGAUCCCAAAGAGAGCCACGCUAUCCCUGAAUCUGAAGCACAGGAAGGGCCAAAGAUAGAAGCAGGAGUGCUGUGCAAGUUUAAUGCAGGUUACAGAGCUGGCAUGUGUUAAAGAUGAAGAGGUCCCUCAACAGGAAUGUGUUCCUAUUAAAGAGGAAUUCAUAGAGCAGGAAUGUGUCCCCAUCGCAGAGGAACUUCCUCAUGAAAAUCAUGUCUGUACACUUGAGGAGAACAACAAGCUGGGAUCCAACCUGUGUGAUGACUCUCCAUCUGAAUGUGAACUGGGAUUUAGAGCUUCUAAAGUAGAUGAAGGAGAACACGACUCCACUCUAUCACCCCAGUGCAAAAACGCUUCUAGAGGCAAACCACAGUGUAAGAAACACAGAGAAACAACACCCCAAGAAGAAAAUGUGAAGACAUUGAGAACUCACUCAGUUACAAUUCCUUCUUUACAAGACAGACACCCACUUACUGUGGAGAGUACAGAGAGGGCACAUUCUGUAUGUUUUAACAAUUCUGAAACCCAGGGCAACUUGAAGACCUUACCUCAUACUAUUAAAGGUGGGAAGAGUUCCUGUCAAUUAGAUGUUCCUAAAACUCACAACGGAAAUCCCACAGGAGGGACUCCGUGUUCCUGGGCUGAUUGUGGGAAGAGUUUCAAUCAUAUAUCACUGCUUAAAAGGCACCAGCGCAUUCACACAGGAGAGAAACGUUAUCACUGUGCUGUUUGUGGGAAGAGAUUCAGUCAGUUAGGAAACCGCACAAGACACCAUAACAUUCACACAUAUGUGUAAUCCUAUCCCUGCACUUAGUGUGAAGAAGUUAAGUCAGUUGCAGGCUCUUACAGGACUUGAGAACAUUCUCAGAAAUGCAGACACUUGGGGACACCUAAACAACAGGAGUGCAUUCGACUAAAUACAGAAAUAUUAACUGAAAACAAAAGAAUAAACUUGCUUGAUAAAUAGGGUCACCCCUAAUCACAAUCUGUUCAGAUCAAAAACUCACCAAAAUCUGUGUUCAUCAUGUUGUUGAGCAUUCUGAUUGUGUUACAUCACAUUAGUAAUAUAUUAAAUAGAUUGUUAUUAUGA